ensembl:misc_RNA
CUUAAAUAGUCUUCCUUCCAGGACUUACUCCGUAGGAAAGGCGUCGCAGCGCCCAAGAGUCAGUUCUGCCGGGCUGCAGCGCGAACUGUGGUUGGAUGCCUUUGUGGUCUUCCC